AUCAUAAGGAGCUUGAUAUAUAUUAUAUUAAGUUUCUUAUGGUACACAUGGUCGGCUUUAGGGGUAGAGUGUCGGUCCGGCCAUAGGGAGCUUUAUUUAUAUUAUAUAAAGCUCCUUAUAGUCGGACCGGAACUCUACCCCUAAAACCGACUAUAAUAUACAAAGCUCCUUGUGGUCGUGACGGGAAUUCUGCCCCUAAAACCGCCCAUGUAUACGACUUUGGAGGAAGAUAGAGUUUACACGUUGGCUUGCCUUCUCCAAUUUUUUAAAAUCCUGGAUCCGCAACUGGUACAUUAUCCUACAUUGUGUAGCUUUUGUAAUAUACAGAGUAUGUAAAAUGCGGAUCCUAAAAUAUCAUUUUCACUGCAUAUGCCAUAAAUUUCUGAUGUAGAAUGAUAAAUAAACAAACGAUUUUUUUUUUAUUUUUGAAGAAAAUGAAGAAAAUAAAAAAAUGUAGUUACAAGUUAUAUGUUUAGAAAUAAAUAAUACUAGUAAGACAAUGUAAGAGGUACAAACGGAGUUUUAUCGAGCCUAAUUUCAUCCAACUGUGAAAUAUGUAGCGAAAUAGGUGAAUGUUAUGUACAUUUCACGAACAGAUCGUGCAGGUGAUUUAAAUCUAGCAGGUAAGAUGUUGUUGCAGAAAAAUAUUCAUUUCAACACAAUUAUUAAAGUUGUAUAACGUAGAAUAGGUUUGCACAAGGUCAUGUUUUUCUCUGGCUGUUUAUGACGCCUUUACACUAAAUCCAUUGGAUGUUUAGUCUUAGUUGCAUGAUUUUAUUAUUAGUUGUUAUAGUGGCUUUGAACUAGCUGUCAGAUAACUGCGAGUACUCUCAGAUCUGUUCAUUGUGUCUUUUUGUUUCUGGAUGUAUAAGUACCGGGCCACGUCCACUUGUAUUUUUGUCCAUCUGAUGAGCUAAGCCUUUUUCAACUGAUUUUUAUAGUUCGUUCUUAUGUUGUACUGUUAUACCACUGUCCCAGGUUAGGGGAAGGGUUUGGAUCCCGCUAACAUGUUUAACCCCGCCAUAUUAUUUAUGUAUGUGCCUGUCCCAAGUCAGGAGCCAGUAAUUCAGUGGUUGUCGUUUGUUUAUGUGUAACAUAUUUGUUUUUCGUUCUUUUUUAUAUUUGUCAUUUAGUUUCUUCAUAUUGAACUAAAUUCCACUAUGAUACUUUCUUU
rnacentral:lncRNA from 1 species